UACGUAGGGUGCGAGCGUUAAUCGGAAUUACUGGGCGUAAAGUGUGCGCAGGCGGCUUCGCAAGUCGAGUGUGAAAUCCCCGAGCUUAACUUGGGAAUUGCGCUCGAAACUACGGAGCUGGAGUGUGGCAGAGGAAGGUGGAAUUCCACGUGUAGCGGUGAAAUGCGUAGAGAUGUGGAGGAACACCGAUGGCGAAGGCAGCCUUCUGGGCCAACACUGACACUGAGAGACGAAAGCUAGGGGAGCGAAUGGG
rnacentral:rRNA from 1 species